rnacentral:rRNA from 1 species
GACGUAGGAGGCGAGCGUUAUCCGGAUUCACUGGGCGUAAAGCGCAUGUAGGCGGUUCGUCAAGUCGUGUGUUAAAGCCCCUGGCUCAACUGGGGGGAGGUCAUGCGAGACUGACAGACUUGAGGGCAGUAGAGGCACGUGGAACUCCCGGUGUAGCGGUGGAAUGCGUAGAGAUGUGGAGGAACACCGAUGGCGAAGGCAGCCCCCCUGGGGUAACACUGACGCUCAUGCACGAAAGCGUGGGGAGCAAACAGG